rnacentral:rRNA from 1 species
UGGCAGACGGGUGAGUAAUGCAUAGGAAUCUACCUAGUAGUAUGGGAUAGCCACUAGAAAUGGUGGGUAAUACUGUAUAAUCCCUGCGGGGGAAAGAUUUAUCGCUAUUAGAUGAGCCUAUGUUAGAUUAGCUAGUUGGUAGGGUAAAGGCCUACCAAGGCGGUGAUCUAUAGCUGGUCUGAGAGGAUGAUCAGCCACACUGGAACUGAGAUACGGUCCAGACUCCUACGGGAGGCAGCAGUGGGGAAUAUUGGACAAUGGGCGCAAGCCUGAUCCAGCUAUGCCGCGUGAGUGAGGAAGGCCUUAGGUUGAAA